CCAGUCGAGAAUACUCCACAAUGCGCAUACGCGUGAUGGGGGGAAUCUGAGCGGUCCACUUCGGUGGACCUUUUGCCAAGUCCAGUCAGCUUGGCGAAUAAGUGCUGGGCAAGACCGGUGGCAGCCGCCACGGUAAUACCGGCAGCACAAGUGGUAUCCACGAUUAUUUGGCUUAAAGCGCUCGUAGCUGGUCGAUACCGUCUCAUGUGAAAUAUUGGCGCUCAACGUCAAUGCGUGCAUGAGAUACCUGUUGACUAGGGAGCGGGUGAGGUCAGGGGUACUCAUCGGGGAGGGGUAAAAUCCUGUAAUCCUAUGAGGACCAACGGUGGCGAAGGCGCCUGACCAGAACGCAUCCGACAGUGAGGAGCUAAGGCUAGGAGAACAAAUCGGAUUAGAUACCCGCGUAGUCC
rnacentral:rRNA from 1 species